CUGUGGGGAAGGAUCCAGGCAGCUAGAAAGUCGUUCUCUCUGUCUCCAGCCGAGCUGCCUCCGUGGCUCCACCCAGGGCUCUGCCACUGUCUAAGAACUGGUGGAGGGGUUCCUCUUUCCUCAGUAGCACAUUGCUCAGGUGAUGACGACAACAGUAGUGACACCGUGUGUUCUAUCUUCAUUUGUGCAUCUACCCUGAAACUCUGAUCCCUCCAGGGAUAAAGAUC
rnacentral:lncRNA from 1 species